UACGUAGGUGGCAAGCGUUGUCCGGAAUUAUUGGGCGUAAAGCGCGCGCAGGCGGUCGGGUAAGUCUGAUGUUAAAGCCCGGGGCUCAACCCCGGUUCGCAUUGGAAACUGUGUAGCUUGAGUGCAGAAGAGGAAAGCGGUAUUCCACGUGUAGCGGUGAAAUGCGUAGAGAUGUGGAGGAACACCAGUGGCGAAGGCGGCUUUCUGGUCUGUAACUGACGCUGAGGCGCGAAAGCGUGGGGAGCAAACAGG
rnacentral:rRNA from 1 species